rnacentral:rRNA from 1 species
GACGAACGCUGGCGGCGUGCUUAACACAUGCAAGUCGAACGGAAAGGCCCUGCUUUUGUGGGGUGCUCGAGUGGCGAACGGGUGAGUAACACGUGAGUAACCUGCCCUUGACUUUGGGAUAACUUCAGGAAACUGGGGCUAAUACCGGAUAGGAGCUCCUGCUGCAUGGUGGGGGUUGGAAAGUUUCGGCGGGUGGGGAUGGACUCGCGGCUUAUCAGCUUGUUGGUGGGGUAGUGGCUUACCAAGGCUUUGACGGGUAGCCGGCCUGAGAGGGUGACCGGCGACAUUGGGACUGAGAUACGGCCCAGAGUCCUACGGGAGGCAGAAGUGGGGAAUAUUGCACAAUGGGCGGAAGCCUGAUGCAGCAACGCCGCGUGCGGGAUGACGGCCUUCGGGUUGUAAACCGCUUUCGCCUGUGACGAAGCGUGAGUGACGGUAAUGGGUAAAGAAGCACCGGCUAACUACGUG